GUGAGGAAUUUUCCGCAAUGGGCGAAAGCCUGACGGAGCAAUGCCGCGUGAAGGAUGAAGGCCUAUGGGUUGUAAACUUCUUUUCUCAGAAAAGAAUUAUGACGGUAUCUGAGGAAUAAGCAUCGGCUAACUCUGUGCCAGCAGCCGCGGUAAGACAGAGGAUGCAAGCGUUAUCCGGAAUGAUUGGGCGUAAAGCGUCUGUAGGUUGUUUAAAAAGUAUUCUGCCAAAGAUUAGGGCUUAACCCUAGAUAGGCAGAAUAAACUUUUAAGCUAGAGUUUGGUAGAGGCAGAGGGAAUUCCCGGUGGAGCGGUGAAAUGCGUAGAUAUCGGGAGGAACACCAAAGGCGAAGGCACUCUGCUGGGCCAAUACUAACACUGAGAGACGAAAGCGAGGGGAGCAAAUGGGAUUAGAAACCCCGGUAGUCC
rnacentral:rRNA from 1 species